rnacentral:tRNA from 2 species
GGCCCUGUAGCUCAACGGAUAGAGCAGUCCCGUCCUAAGGGAAAGGUUGUGAGUUCGAUUCUCGCCAGGGCCG